rnacentral:piRNA from 1 species
AGGUCGUGUCCAUUCUUUUGUAG